rnacentral:ncRNA from 1 species
AUGGGAAAUGCUUAGUAGUUCUUAGAUGUGCUAUCAAUAACCAGUGAUGCCAUGACACGAUGUCAUGGCAAGCAAUCAGCGACACGACGUCGCAUUGAUUGCGCUCACGUCCGAUUUUAAUACCUACUAGCACAUCUUAGCACUACUU